rnacentral:rRNA from 1 species
UACGUAGGGGGCAAGCGUUGUCCGGAAUUAUUGGGCGUAAAGAGCGUGUAGGCGGCCAGAUAAGUCCGCUGUGAAAGUCGGGGGCUCAACCCUCGAAUGCCGGUGGAUACUGUCGGGCUAGAGUGCGGAAGAGGCGAGUGGAAUUCCUGGUGUAGCGGUGAAAUGCGCAGAUAUCAGGAGGAACACCGAUUGCGAAGGCAGCUCGCUGGGACGUAACUGACGCUGAGACGCGAAAGCGUGGGGAGCAAACAGG